AUGUGUUACUUUUUUCACCAACUGAAGCAGAAACAGAAACAGAAUACUCAAUUGAAUGGUGUACAAGUGCACCAAUACAACCCCAGAGCAAUUACAAGUCACUGUCAUUCUGUAAGCUUCAGAAGCAGAGGAAUUCUCUCAAGUAUUAACAAAGCCUCUCAGAUCUCUCCUUUAGGAUACACCUGGACAGAUCUUUGUGGCAUUUGAGAAACCAGGAGAAGUCCCAGCUUGUCAUGUUGUAUUGCUGUAAUAGGUCAAGAGGUGGAAGCUCACCUUAUAUCAGAUUCAUUUUUCUUACACAUUCACCGUCAGAGGUCAAGAGGCAUUUAUACCUCCUUGUUCAACAAAGGGUGCCCAAAGAUGUUGGAUAUCUUCAUCUCUACAACCCAAAUACCAGAAAAUGGAUGGCGCUGACGCUGAGACAUCUUUGUAAAAUAUCUGAACAACUACAUGUUGUGGUGUAACUUGUAUUUCACAAGUCAUACGUGUGGCCCAUUCGUUGUCUUUGGCUUAUAGUGUUCUAGUAAUAUUUGCCUCUCCUUUUACAAGUAGUAUUGGAGACUUGAGGUUAUUACCCUAGCCGAAGUCAGUGUUCCACUACUACUUGUUUUUGGAGUAUCCCUUCACCGACUUAUUGCCUUAUAAAAGGGAGGCUUUGCAACAAGGCAAAGUGGAAGAAAAAUUAGAAGCCACAUGUCUCAUUAGGGUUUUCUCACUUUGCUGUGCCUUAUGGCACUUAGAGAAGAAUAGAGUUUUCUUUGUCAAUUUUCUCUCUUGUGUGAGAGUGAGAUUUAGGUGUAUUGGGGCUUUGAGUUUUGAGUGAUUUUCUUCCUGUUAUCUUUGUACUCAAUCUUUUAUUAGUGAAUUUCUUCCGGGUCGUCUUCGCCAGUGGAUGUAGGCUUGUUAAGCCGAACCACUUAUAUCUUGAUGUCUUGUGUGAUUGAUCUAUUUUCUAUUAUGUUCUUUUCUACUUCUUUGGGAUCCUAUAUUUAAUUCCGUGCGCAACACUACAUUUAAAUACCAGGAAAUUGAUGGUGCCCAUUUUAUUCUUCGUCAAAGAUGGCCCCAAGUUUAAAGGUGGUGAGCAAUCAGCAUGCAAACUUUGAACAGAAUUCUCAUCGGAAACAGGAAAAUGGAAAACUUUCAUUGAAGCUUGUGAAGAUCAUGAGGGAUUUUUUUUUUUUUUCAAAUAAGAUAGUCGUAUGCAAAGCAGUGGGCAAAUGCUCGUAAAAAUCGAAAUGUUACCGCUUUCAGUA